rnacentral:hammerhead_ribozyme from 1 species
GGCUAGCUGACAAGUCUCAAAUAGGACGAAACACGCGUCCUGGAU